rnacentral:lncRNA from 1 species
CCGACGGUCCAGGAGAUGCAAGGCGGCGCCAGCGCCGGCGUGUUGUUUCGUCCGGCCUGAUUGGCGCAAGCUGACCCGGUUCUUCUGCUGCUCCUCCUCCAAGAAGAGGAAGCCGAAAAUCGGCGAAGAUAAAGAGACGGGUUUCGGAAGCUCGUUAGGGCGGCGGCGUGAGGAGGAGGAGGAAGAAGAAGACGAUUUCUACGGCGGCGAAGACGACUCGGAGGUGGAGGAGGAGCCGACUUUAUCCGCUACGAGGAAGGUGUUUGCCUACUCGUCACCGUCGAACUCGCCGCCGAAGAACGCGCUGCUGUUGAUUCGGAGCAGAUCUGCGCCGUACAGAACAUCGUCACUGGCGAGUAGGUUUUGGGG